UUUGCUGAAGAAAAUUGGUCUCUCUUCUACAAUGCAGAACAAAUGCUGGCCUCUCGGGGUUUCACUCUUCAAAUAACAUGAUGCCAGUGCAGAACUAACUAGGACUGGGUACCCCCAAACUAACUUAGAUUCAACUAAGCCCUAUAGAUUUUAGUCCUUGGGUCCUACUGCUUCUUCCUGGUCUCCCUGGCUGACCCCCAUCUUGAGUCUCGGGUUUCUUUCAUUACAGUCGCCCCCAUGAUUUGCUUCCCAGGCCCACACUAACCAAUUUACCAAAUGGUGUGGGUUUUUUUUUCUGCAGAAACCAACAGCUGGAACAAACUCUUCCUUAUUGUGCACCCGUUCUUUCUCAGGGUGUGUCUCUUUGCGGUGAUCCAACGAUGUUGGGAAUUGCACCAGGCAGGUAUUGCUGCUGUUGCAAAGCGGACUCUCACCAGAACUGCCUUCGCAAGGCAUGAAAGGCUCCAGAACCAGCCCAGAUGCACGAAGAACCCUGGAUUGCACCACGUUGGCUUGGAAAAGAUAAUUACAGUGUCAGUGAAAAGGCUGCUGUUAUAUAAUUGCUUGCCACGUUCAUACCUGCAAACAAUUCAGCAGCUAAUUGCAGAAACUGGAGAGAGCUUAAUGAGAGGAGUUCGCUAGAAAGGAGCCAAGCCCAGCCGCGAGUAAUCAGACGUGGAAUGCAGCCUGUCCAUCUUGGAGAAAUUGGAGAGAAAGCAGGAGCUGGGAUGCCGGUGCGUCACCUGGACAGUCAGGGGUACCUGCGGGAGGUGUGUCUAUCAGAAAAGUGAAGACCCACAGCCAAGACUGCACUACUGAAGCCGCCAUCUUGACUUUUGAACACCUCUGCCCCCGCCCCCACUGUGGACCUCCUGUAUCCAUCUGUUCAACUCUGAGACCAAGAGGAAAAUUUUGGCCCCUUAACAAUCCCAGGAGAUGAAUGAGAUUGCAAUCUGAAAGCAAUCUAAUUAAUGAGAUUUCUCUUUUUCUUUCCUACUUUCCAUCUUGUGAAUAGAGACUUUGGGAGAACCUUGAUUUUUGUCAAAGUGAGAUACCAAGAUAUUGGCACAGAGUUAUCUUCUUUAUCUUUGUGUACACCUAAGCAAAAGGUCCAACAAGCCAGGCAACACACCUCCUCCUGCUACCAAUUCAAAAAUCACCGGGAAUUGUGCCCAAGCCAAGCAGGUUCCAAAACUGCAGUGUUACCUCUUCCCAGAUAUGCCUCCUCCCUUGUUUUGAGACAAGCCUGCAACUCCAGCUGAAAUAUGGAUGGAGAUGGUUGGAGACAGUCCCUUAUUUAUUCUGACUUCCUGGGAGAGAGCCAGUCUUUCCCGGAGCUUGUCCCAGAGCCUGGGAUGUAGUUCAGUAGGUCAAAGCCGCCACUGAGACUGGAGAUAAUGUUAGGGCGCCUGGGGGAAAUAAUCUGGCGUCUUGGAAAUGAAAAGGAGAUGAACCUCAAGAACAUGUUUUCUAGCCCAUGAAAUAGGGAUUAUUUGACUCUGUGGAAGUAGCCGAAUGGGAUUCCCAGCAUCCUUCACCAUUGGCCAGGCUGGUUGGCUUGAUUAGGAGUUGUAGCUCCAUACCUUUGGCAUUCACAGGUUCCUUGCUAUGUUUGAUGUUUCUCAACCUUGGCAAUUUGAAGAACGAUUGCAGGAAUUGGGUAGGUCUAGUCUAGAGAAAAGAAGGACUAAGGAUGAUAUGAUAUCAGUGUUCCAAUAUCUGACGGGCUCAAACAAAGACGAAGAGGUGAACCUAUUUCCAAAGCACCUGAAGGCAAGACAAGAAACAAGGGAUGGAAACUCAUCAAGGAGAGAAGCAACCUAGAAUUAAGGAGAAACUCCCUAACAGUGAGAACAAUUAACCAAUGGAACAGAUUGCCUUCAGAAAUUGUGGGUGCUCCAUCACUGAAGAUCUUUAAGAAGAGAUUAGACAGUCACUAGACAGGCAUGAAGAAGCAGAAGAAUCUCCAACCACGGGAGAUGGUGAUUCUUGCCCAGACACUACUCUCGGCCAGCAUCUUUGUACAAGCUAAAAAAUCCAGACGGCAAUUUCUUAAGCCUCUUAAUUCCCAGCCUGUUCAUAUAUGGAAGUGAAGCAACUUAAGGCUUCAACCAACGUGUCCACAGGGUGCGGUCAAAAAAAGGGAAAGACGGUGGCCAUAAGAGUGUGAUUGACGCUCUACUGAUGUUUUAAUGGGUAUCACAAAGGAGGCUUUGAUUGCACUGCUUUGACCAUACCUUGUGGACAACUCUGGACUGUGGUGUACAAAGCCCUCAACAACUUCAUCCUUUAGAGUAGGUUCUGCAAUGUCUGUUCUUUCACUGUUCUUGAGAGACCUCAAUUCAAAGAAUGACCAUGGACAACAAAGCCAAGCCAUUGCGUGUGUUGAUUCCGACAGACUGAGACCCCCAAUUUUGGCUCCUGCUUAAUUAGAGGGCUUCUCCUGUCUAACAGGCUCCUCAGCCAUUGGGCGUGGAGCUCCCCAGAUCGCAGGAAAGCUGCCAACUUUAUGCAAACGGCAGCCAGCCACGUGCAGCCAGAAAAAAACGAGAG